UACGAAGGGUGCAAGCGUUAUCCGGAUUCAUUGGGUUUAAAGGGUGCGUAGGUGGGCAGGUAAGUCAGUGGUGAAAUCUCCGGGCUUAACCCGGAAACUGCCAUUGAUACUAUCAGUCUUGAAUACCGUGGAGGUAAGCGGAAUAUGUCAUGUAGCGGUGAAAUGCUUAGAUAUGACAUAGAACACCAAUUGCGAAGGCAGCUUACUACGCGAAUAUUGACACUGAGGCACGAAAGCGUGGGGAUCAAACAGG
rnacentral:rRNA from 1 species